GGAGGUGGAGCUUCGGGGCAUAAUAGGUAGCCAAUUAAAUUCUUAAACAUGAUCCUUUAUCUCCUUAACAUGAAGCUACUUUAAGCAAAGCCACAUUCGUUUUUGUUUUGGCUAAUUUGUUUUAUCUAAAUUAUGCUUUGCAGUUGCAUGGUGGUGAAAUUGGUUGGAAGGCAGGCGUAAAGAAAACAGGGACUGCCAAAACCUGUUUUCUGAUUUGUCACAUUGUCCUAUAAUGCAGAAGACUCUCAAAGAGACUUGAGUGGAACUCAACUUCUUCAUGUUCAUAUUUGAUAAAAGUAUCCUGCUACUUAGGAUCACACAAGGCUUUAUAUACUGAACUGGAGUAUCUUCGUUGAAGGUAAAAUGGCCAAUUAUGCAGUUAUUAACAAAAUUUUUGCAAAUAUGGUACUAAAAAAUCUUAAUUAUGCUUCUACUGGUGUUCUUUUAGAUAGUAGUUGUCUGCAUAUUGUAUGAACUGCUUUUAUGCUACUUUAUCAUGGACACUUGGGCCUAUCAGUUUGGUUGUCAUGAUUUCACUUUGUGAUGAGGUUUUGAUGAACAUGGAAAAUUGAAUUCAACGUUAAGUACUCGUGGAAAACCCCCCACCCCACAUCACUCAACAAAUAGUAAAAGAAAAAUAAAAAAGACCUGGAAAAGAAAAAAAAAUUUUAUGCGUACCUUACAGCAUAUUUUCCCGUUACUAUUACAACCACCAAAGCUUAUCUUAAGAAGCUAUAAGACCAUGUAUUUAGGUAUUCCUUGUGCGGUAAACUCUGACACAUAUCAUAUUUUUAACCACGAAAGAGGCAAAUAUAAUGUGCAGAUCAACUAAGAUUUCAAAAAUUACAAUAGUGUGGUUGUUAUGAGUAGCAAAUGAUUGGAGAAAGCACUAUAUUUUCUCUAAUAUUGUACAGUAUUUGUAGAUAACGAUUAAAGCGUGGUCUAUCUUUUAGAUUACAAUCCCUUGUGGUUGUGAUGCCAAUCAAGAUCAUAUUAUUUGAAUAGAUCUUUAUUUGAGUGGCCCAAAUUUUUUGAGCUAUCAUAUGAUAUAAAGUCACUUAAGUAAUGACAAAUCUGUAUUUUGACUUUGGAGAAAAUCCCAUGACCAUGACAUUGAUUGAUUAAUCCAUUGUAGUAUUGCCACACUUGGUUUCUCUUUGUUGAGAAGCAUAAUAGGGAUAUUGGCAACUGAGAUGUGUGAUGUUUCACAUCCUAAACGUCGACCUGAUAUUUUAGAGAGAAUGGAAAAUGUGUUCCUCAUAGGGAUGAGGUAACUAAGUAUAAUGGUUCUUAAAAAUCUUAAUACUUAACCCCAAAAAAUGCAAGGGCAAAAUUGAUACUUGAUAGUGUAUGGAUAGAUGAAAGUAAGAACACAAAUUCUACAAUCAAGUGGAGAAGCUGAACUGCAAAUUGAAGACUAGGAAGUGAACGCUGCUUGGAAAGAAGACUUGCUCACUUUUCCUUCAUGGUGAUGAAAGUUAUCAGGAAAAAAAAAAAUAAUAAUAAUAAAAUAAAAUAAAAAACUUAUUUUAUGUUGAAGCAAAGAAGGACGCCUCCUAACUGAUCAUCAAUUAUUAAUCUAUAAAAAGUCAUCUUUACAUUAAAAUGAUUUAGUAAUAGCUUUGCUCAUCAAAAUAAUUUACUCACAUCUUCGUCAAAAAGAAAAUAUGAGCCCUCAAGCUAGAAAAAUUUAUCACAGAUCGCUUAUAUUUAUCUUGGGGGAAGAAAAACCUUUCAUGGCAUAUUUGGUACAUUGAGCUUAAUGGAAUAAAGGAUAAGCGUCUCUCGCAUGUCUCUUUUUCGUGAUCAUGUUUAGACCUAUCAUUUCGAGGAUGCCAAACAACUUAUCAAAGAAAUGUCUUUUUACUUGUAGCAUAAUCUGACUAAGGACCCCUUUAACUUGGCUCUUGAAAAGCCCAAAACUACUUCUAAGAUUAAGAACCUGCUUUUGAAUCUGUUUGAGUAAUUGUUUAGAAGUGCUUUGUCCGGUAAGAAAAGUUUUUAGGGAAAACUGGCUUAAACUCUUUUACAAAAAGCAAAAACAAAAGUAGAAGCCUACCAAGCAAGCUUUAAAUUGUUUGAUGGAGCACUCUAUGGUAAAGAGAGAAUUUUGGGAUGAAUCUUAGUUUUGUGAAUUUAAGAAAACCUUUUGCAUAUAUUCAACCUUGAUCUUUUCUUCAAUCAAUAGACGAGGAUGUCAUAACCCCCCACCUAGGCACUGGUAGAUUUUUGUUAAACAUAAAAGUUGACCUUUUCUUUUCUUUCUAGUUCCCAAGUUCAUAUUUCUUCUGAGUCCAUGAUGUGACCCUGAAUCCAGUUAUCCAUCAUUCCUCCCCACUUUCCUGUAAACCAAAGAUUGAUGAUACAAAAUUGCAAAAGCAUGAUGUACUUGAAUGAAUGAAUGAGAUUCUACAUGUACAUCUUUAUGUGUAGUAUACAUAUCUAAUAGGAUCAUAACUUGCUUAUCUAAUUGUUGACUUAGCCCACUCCCCUCCCAAUCCAUUUCAAUUUUCUUUAGGUAAAAAAAUAAAAAUAAAAUGUACAAGUAAAAUUUUUUUAUGUAAAAUUUUUUAUUUUUUAAACAUAUUUGCCUGACUUAAUUUAUUUUUUUUAAUUAUUUUUUAUAAAGUCCAGUCCGUUGUUUGUGCUUUCUUGGCAUCCACGUCUAUCACUAUCAUAUGAUACUAACCAUCAAUUAAGAUACAGAAAAUGAUGAGAAAAAGAGAAAAUUAAAUAAUAUAUGUUGAACGUAUUUGACAUUUAGAAAAAAGUUAAGAAAAUGAGUGAAAAUCACCUUCCUCUAACAAGUCCUGCAGGGAAUGAUUGUGCUUGCUGGUUGAUUUUCCUUCUUGCUUAUGGUUUAUAUAAGCAUAUAGGCAUUUAUAUCAAGAAACUGCUGCAUAUCUCUCUGAAGAGCUCAUUUCUUGGUUGAGGGGAAUGAAGCCUGGUCCGAAAUCAUCCAGAUCACACCAUGCAGUUUGCAUAUGAAAGAUUUCGCACCAGACGACACUCCCCUCAACGACUCAUAUCAUAGAAAAAGAGAGAACUCCCGGGUGGUGGUGAAGAUGAUUUAGCCAUGCAUUAUUUUUCAUGGAGUCCUUUAUAUGCACGAGAAUCUCUGUUGAGUCAUGAGAAUCCAUUUUCAAUGCCUCCCCUAGACACUUUUCACACAUAGCGAUGCCACUUAUUGAGAAAAUGAUUGACAUAUAUAAUUUGCAACUUCUUUGGGAAUCUGGUUAUCCAGAUAAGUAUUUCCUUUUUACUUAUCUAUGAGAUGCAACUUUCUCUACGAAUAAACAAUAAUACUCAAGUCAACUAAUGAAAGAAUUCAAAUAAUAAUUAAAGCAAUUCAAAAGAUUAAUAGACAAUGAAGUAAGUUGAAGAUUUCAACGUGUCUUUGUUUGAUGUUGAUAACAAGUACUAGUAGCCAAUUUAAUCUGUUGAUGCUUCCUAAUCAAGAAGUGAUUGUGGUGAUAGCGAGAGUUUAAUUUUAAAACAUAGGUAACUCGGGUUUUUCAAGCACUGAAUUAUCAAUGUGAUUAUGGGUUUCUCAUAUUUUUAUUUUUGCAUCAUAAAAUCAUUGUGCACAUGAGAUUAAAGUGAUUUCGCAUAAUCUUUAUACGAUGAAGAGGAGGCUAAGCCUUUUUUAAGACAUUUGUUUGUGAUUACACGCAGAAGAGCAUAUUUGACUAAUCUUAUAGAUUAAUGAGAUUUGUUGAACCUUGAUAGAUAAAAAUUUAUAUAUGUAAAGUACAAACACAGAUGUGCAUGUUAUGUCUUGAAGGUUGACUUGAUAAAGAGAUGAGGAUGGC
rnacentral:lncRNA from 1 species